rnacentral:rRNA from 1 species
GACGAACGCUGGCGGCGUGCCUAAUACAUGCAAGUUGAGCGCUGAAGGUUGGUACUUGUACCAACUGGAUGAGCAGCGAACGGGUGAGUAACGCGUGGGGAAUCUGCCUUUGAGCGGGGGACAACAUUUGGAAACGAAUGCUAAUACCGCAUAAAAACUUUAAACACAAGUUUUAAGUUUGAAAGAUGCAAUUGCAUCACUCAAAGAUGAUCCCGCGUUGUAUUAGCUAGUUGGUGAGGUAAAGGCUCACCAAGGCGAUGAUACAUAGCCGACCUGAGAGGGUGAUCGGCCACAUUGGGACUGAGACACGGCCCAAACUCCUACGGGAGGCAGCAGUAGGGAAUCUUCGGCAAUGGACGAAAGUCUGACCGAGCAACGCCGCGUGAGUGA